GACGAACGCUGGCGGCGUGCCUAAUACAUGCAAGUAGAACGCUGAAGCUUGGUGCUUGCACCGAGCGGAUGAGUUGCGAACGGGUGAGUAACGCGUAGGUAACCUGCCUGGUAGCGGGGGAUAACUAUUGGAAACGAUAGCUAAUACCGCAUAAGAGUAGAUGUUGCAUGACAUUUGCUUAAAAGGUGCAAUUGCAUCACUACCAGAUGGACCUGCGUUGUAUUAGCUAGUUGGUGAGGUAACGGCUCACCAAGGCAACGAUACAUAGCCGACCUGGAAGGGUGAUCGGCCACACCGGGACUGGGAAACGGCCCAGAAUCCUACGGGAGGCAGCAGGAGGGAAUCUUCGGCAAUGGACGGAAGGCUGACCGAGCAACGCCGCGGGAGUGAAGAAGGUUUUCGGAUCGUAAAGCUCUGUUGUAAGAGAAGAACGAGUGUGAGAGUGGAAAGUUCACACUGUGACGGUAUCUUACCAGAAAGGGACGGCUAACUACGUG
rnacentral:rRNA from 1 species